rnacentral:rRNA from 1 species
AUUGAACGCUGGCGGCAUGCUUUACACAUGCAAGUCGAACGGUAACAGGCCGCAAGGUGCUGACGAGUGGCGAACGGGUGAGUAAUGCAUCGGAACGUGCCCAGUCGUGGGGGAUAACGCAGCGAAAGCUGUGCUAAUACCGCAUACGAUCUAUGGAUGAAAGCGGGGGACCGUAAGGCCUCGCGCGAUUGGAGCGGCCGAUGUCAGAUUAGGUAGUUGGUGGGGUAAAGGCCUACCAAGCCGACGAUCUGUAGCUGGUCUGAGAGGACGACUAGCAACACUGGGACUGAGACACGGCCCAGACUCCUACGGGAGGCAGCAGUGGGGAAUUUUGGACAAUGGGCGCAAGCCUGAUCCAGCAAUGCCGCAUGCAGGAAGAAGGCCUUCGGGUUGUAAACUGCUUUUGUACGGAACGAAACGGCCUGGGUUAAUACCCUGGGCUAAUGACGGUACCGUAAGGAUAAGCACCGGCUAACUACGUGCCAGCCGCCGCAGUAAGAC